AGAGUUUGAUCCUGGCUCAGAGUGAACGCUGGCGGCGUGCCUAAUACAUGCAAGUCGAACGAUGAAGCUUCUAGCUUGCUAGAAGUGGAUUAGUGGCGCACGGGUGAGUAACGCAUAGGUCAUGCGCCUCUUAGUUUGGGAUAGCCAUUGGAAACGAUGAUUAAUACCAGAUACUCCCUACGGGGGAAAGAUUUAUCGCUAAGAGAUCAGCCUAUGUCCUAUCAGCUUGUUGGUAAGGUAAUGGCUUACCAAGGCUAUGACGGGUAUCCGGCCUGAGAGGGUGAACGGACACACUGGAACUGAGACACGGUCCAGACUCCUACGGGAGGCAGCAGUAGGGAAUAUUGCUCAAUGGGGGAAACCCUGAAGCAGCAACGCCGCGUGGAGGAUGAAGGUUUUAGGAUUGUAAACUCCUUUUGUUAGAGAAGAUAAUGACGGUAUCUAACGAAUAAGCACCGGCUAACUCCGUGCCAGCAGCCGCGGUAAUACGGAGGGUGCAAGCGUUACUCGGAAUCACUGGGCGUAAAGAGCGCGUAGGCGGGAUAGUCAGUCAGGUGUGAAAUCCUAUGGCUUAACCAUAGAACUGCAUUUGAAACUACUAUUCUAGAGUGUGGGAGAGGUAGGUGGAAUUCUUGGUGUAGGGGUAAAAUCCGUAGAGAUCAAGAGGAAUACUCAUUGCGAAGGCGACCUGCUGGAACAUUACUGACGCUGAUUGCGCGAAAGCGUGGGGAGCAAACAGGAUUAGAUACCCUGGUAGUCCACGCCCUAAACGAUGGAUGCUAGUUGUUGGAGGGCUUAGUCUCUCCAGUAAUGCAGCUAACGCAUUAAGCAUCCCGCCUGGGGAGUACGGUCGCAAGAUUAAAACUCAAAGGAAUAGACGGGGACCCGCACAAGCGGUGGAGCAUGUGGUUUAAUUCGAGGAUACACGAAGAACCUUACCUAGGCUUGACAUUGAGAGAAUCCGCUAGAAAUAGUGGAGUGUCUGGCUUGCCAGACCUUGAAAACAGGUGCUGCACGGCUGUCGUCAGCUCGUGUCGUGAGAUGUUGGGUUAAGUCCCGCAACGAGCGCAACCCCCUUUCUUAGUUGCUAACAGGUCAUGCUGAGAACUCUAAGGAUACUGCCUCCGUAAGGAGGAGGAAGGUGGGGACGACGUCAAGUCAUCAUGGCCCUUACGCCUAGGGCUACACACGUGCUACAAUGGGGUGCACAAAGAGAAGCAAUACUGCGAAGUGGAGCCAAUCUUCAAAACGCCUCUCAGUUCGGAUUGCAGGCUGCAACUCGCCUGCAUGAAGCUGGAAUCGCUAGUAAUCGCAAAUCAGCCAUGUUGCGGUGAAUACGUUCCCGGGUCUUGUACUCACCGCCCGUCACACCAUGGGAGUUGUGUUUGCCUUAAGUCAGGAUGCUAAAUUAGCUACUGCCCACGGCACACACAGCGACUGGGGUGAAGUCGUAACAAGGUAACCGUAGGUGAACCUGCGGUUGGAUCACCUCCUUUCUAGAGAAAAGCUUUUAACAUUCGCUUGUUAAAAGCCAAAGAGUAUUACCUGACAAAAGGACUUCUUGUUGCUUAGUUUUGAAAGAUUGAGCUUAUUCUUUCUUUUUUAAAUCUUGAUUUUUAUUUGGUUUUUGCUUAAACUUUUUCAUUCUUGUUUUUAAUAUUUCUUGCUCGCUUGUAUUGGAUUUCUUAAAUCUUACUUCUUGUUUUUUUCCAUUUUUGUUUUUUACUUAUUGCGUUUUAAUUCUUAUGUUUAACUUUUUGUUUUUUUACGCUUUAAUAUUAAAGUUUUAGUUUUGGUGUUUUGCUUCUUGUUUCUUUGUGUUCUUAAGGUUUUUUACUGCUUAUAAUUUUUGUUUGUUGUUUCACCUUGUUUUUUGCUUGCUUGAUUUUGAUUUGAUUGUGUUUCGUGUUUUAUUUUUCUUAAAUCUCAUUUCUUUUGUUUGAGUGUUGGUUUUAGUGUUGGAUUUUCUCAAUUCUUAUGUUUGUAUUUUUUGCUUCUUGUUUCUUUGUGUUCUUAAGGUUUUUUACUGCUUGUGGUUUGUGGUUGUUGUGUUGGAGUUUUACUUGUUACUUCUUGGGUUUUAAUUUCUUAUUCCUUACUUAUUGCGUUUUGAUUCUUAUGUUUUAAUGUUUAUGUUUUUAGUUUUUCUUGCUUCUUAAUGUUUAGUGGGUUCGUUAUUUUUAAGGGGGUUUAGUGGGGUUUGGUCGUUGGGUUUUAUUUUCUUAAGCCUUAUCUUUAUCUCAUGAUUGCAAUUCUUGCUUAUUUUUGAUUUGCUUGUUUUUGAUUUCUUGCGUGUUAAGUUUUAUUUUUUGUGAAAUGCAUAUAAGGGAGUGGUUAUUUUAAUUUUUUAACGCCCUGUAUUUCUAGAGUUUUAAACGCUCAAGGAUUUGGGUUUUAAUUUCUUUCGGAUCUAAUUGAACAAGUUGUUGGUAUUCAAAAUUGCGUGCUUGAAAAUCAAUGCAAUGCAAUAAUUCAAAAAUAAUAGAAUCGUUUUCAUAGGGGGCAACUAGGUGCAUGCCUGAAUAAUGGAAUUGAGUGCAAGAAAGCGCAAUAAAUACGCUGUAGGGUUUUAAUAGGGG
rnacentral:rRNA from 1 species